CCUACGGUGGGCAGCAGUGGGGAAUUUUGCGCAAUGCUCGUAAGAGUGACGCAGCGACGCCGCGUUCAUGACGAAGGCCUUCGGGUCGUAAAGUUCUUUCGACAGGGAAGAACAUGCCUAUAAGUAACUGUGUAUGUAUUGACGGUACCUGUAUAAGCAGCCCCGGCUAACUCCGUUCCAGCAGCCGCGGUAAUACGGAGGGGGCGAGCGUUGUUCGGAGUAACUGGGAGUAAAGAGCACGUAGGCGGUGUUGUAAGUCAAUAGUCAAAGAGUAGAGCUCAAAUUUAGUAAUGCUAGUGAUACUAGCAUACUAGAGUAUCAGAGAGGAUUGCAGAAUUCCUGGUGUAGCGGUGAAAUGCGUAGAUAUAAGGAGGAAUACCGUUAGCGAAGGCGGCAAUCUGGCUGGAAACUGACGCUGAGGUGCGAAAGCGUGGGUAGCAAACAGGAUUAGAUACCCCAGUAGUC
rnacentral:rRNA from 1 species